GAGUUUGAUCUUGGCUCAGAGCGAACGCUGGCGGCAGGCCUAACACAUGCAAGUCGAGCGCCCAGCAAUGGGAGCGGCAGACGGGAUAGUAACACGUGGGAACGUACCUUUCAGUUCGGAACAACCCAGGGAAACUUGGGCUAAUACCGAAUACGCCCGUAAGGGGAAAGAUUUAUCGCUGAAAGAUCGGCCCGCGUCUGAUUAGCUAGUUGGUGGGGUAAUGGCCCACCAAGGCGACGAUCAGUAGCUGGUCUGAGAGGAUGAUCAGCAUCACUGGGACUGAGACACGGCCCAGACUCCUACGGGAGGCAGCAGUGGGGAAUAUUGGACAAUGGGCGCAAGCCUGAUCCAGCCAUGCCGCGUGGAUGAUGAAGGCCCUAGGGUUGUAAAGUCCUUUCGGCGGGGAAGAUAAUGACGGUACCCGCAGAAGAAGCCCGGCUAACUUCGUGCCAGCCGCCGCAGU
rnacentral:rRNA from 1 species